rnacentral:pre_miRNA from 1 species
AAAAAGACAAACCCUAGGUUUUUAUAUCUAAAUUUGACUGUCAGUUUUAUAUGAAAUUUUUUUUAUAAUUCGUAUUUUCAUUGUUGUUAGAUGAUAAAACAUGAUUAAUAUUUUAUGCGUAAUUGUCUUUUUAAUUUUUUUCAUAAUUUUGAAUUUUUUCAAAUAAGACGGACGGUUAAAUAUUGGGCACGGAAAUCAGGGUUUGUCUUCUU